rnacentral:misc_RNA from 1 species
UGGAAUUAUACUGGAUUGGUUGAUGCCAUCCACAAUGGUGAAGGAAAGUGCUGGACUAUCAAGGUACGAACAGAACAAGAAUUAAUAGAAGCAAUUGCGACGGCGAGCGAUGAACACAAAGAAUCUUUGUGUUUCAUCGAAGUUUUGGUGCACAAAGAUGACACGAGCAAAGAACUACUAGAAUGGGGAUCUCGUGUGGCUUCUGCCAAUGGUCGCCCUCCCAAUCCUCAAUAAUUGGUUGUUAACACCAAAUGUUGAAUAAAGA